rnacentral:lncRNA from 1 species
CUUUCACAUUCGGGAAGCGUCGGGAUUAGGUGAAAGUACGUAGUUGUCUUUCGUAAGUUAAAAUGAUAAUUGGGCCGAAACUUACUGCCUUACCUAAAAGGCAGCGCAGUCAGGAUAUUGCACCCCGAGAACCGUCAGUUUGAGCCAGAUGGAAGCUGAGCUGAACACAUUACGAUGGAUGAUGGAAACAUAAGACUAUCAAGAAAUCCAAGUGGUAAUGGGCGAAGUUUAUUCAGCAUCCGGCAAUGGACUUAUCGUAGUUGGGGAAACGGGUGUUCCGAAUAAUAUCCUGGAAGUUAUCAGGACACCUAUUUUAAAUAUAGGCCUGAAUUUUGUAAAGUAAUAUUUAAGGUGGUCCGUGAUAAUUAAAUAAAAUGCUUAAUUCAUGUGGCUA